ensembl:lncRNA
GGCAAUGCCUUCAAUUGGAGUGUGAGCAGCUGCGAUGGAAGCGUGUGGAGGAGAGCCUGGUGCAGGGCUACUGCAGGGAACCGUGGCUCCUGCUUUGGGGUGGCUGGGAGGUGAGCUGGAGCCACUGCGUGCACAGACAGAGCCCCGGACAGUGAGAGAACACAUCUGUCCUUCGUGGCCACGUCCCACAUCGACGGCAGCAAAAACACCCCGAGCGAUGCCUGCACGGUGCGGCUGCGCAGGGCGGCGAUGUGUCGGAGGAGCAGGAGGGGACAGCUUCCCUGCAGGCAGCUGUGAAUGUCUUCAUCCCAGCACGUCCCCGGCUCUGCUCCCAGCAGCGAUGCCAGGUCCCAGCCCCGGGGUGGGCUGAGAGGGGGUGGUCCAGCAGUGAUGAAGAGGAGAGGGGGGGUGCAGGAGGCUUAGCCCCCACCUCCCCUUUACUUGCUGGGGA